AAAUAAAGACUGAAGAGUAUUCCUGAGAUUGGAACAGGCUGAAACCAUGCAAAAGUGUUGUGCAGUUGGGCAGUUCAAGGGGACCUAUCCGUUGUCAUUCUCCAGAGGGUCCUGACUGCUGAAGAGAUGUGAGCUUGGAAAUUUACAACCUAAAUAUGAUGAUAGACAUCCCUGAUUUGGUCCCAAAUAUUUGGUACUUAGAGAGGAUCAGAACUCCAAGCAGCCACAGGAGCAGAACAACCAGAUGCAGACAACAACUACCUUUCCACUGGAGAAGCAUCCAGCACCUGUGAGGAUGGAGCCACCACCAAGCCACUACCACUGUCCCUGGCCAUGGACACCCUUCCCAGGAUGUGGCAGACUUGGCCUUGUGCAAGGCACACAUGUCUCCAGUUCCCUUUCAGGCAGAUUGUGACCUGUCAGGAAGGCCAAGGAGGAUGGCUUUUCCGGCCCCCAGUGAUCCUUCUUGAUUGCCAUUCGACCCAGACCCAGGAGCAGUUCCCCAGGCAGCCCUGGGCAAGGGAAGUUGACAAGAUGCAUCCAGACAUCCUUUUCAC